UACGUAGGGUGCAAGCGUUAUCCGGAAUUAUUGGGCGUAAAGAGCUCGUAGGCGGCUUGUCACGUCGGAUGUGAAAGCCCGGGGCUUAACUCCGGGUCUGCAUUCGAUACGGGCUAGCUAGAGUGUGGUAGGGGAGAUCGGAAUUCCUGGUGUAGCGGUGAAAUGCGCAGAUAUCAGGAGGAACACCGGUGGCGAAGGCGGAUCUCUGGGCCAUUACUGACGCUGAGGAGCGAAAGCGUGGGGAGCGAACAGG
rnacentral:rRNA from 1 species